UACGUAGGGGGCAAGCGUUGUCCGGAAUCAUUGGGCGUAAAGCGCGUGUAGGCGGCCUUGUAAGUCCGUUCUGAAAGUCCGGGGCUCAACCCCGGGAGGCGGAUGGAUACUGCAAGGCUCGAGUACGGAAGAGGCGAGUGGAAUUCCCGGUGUAGCGGUGAAAUGCGCAGAUAUCGGGAGGAACACCAAUGGCGAAGGCAGCUCGCUGGGACGUUACUGACGCUGAGGCGCGAAAGCGUGGGGAGCGAACAGG
rnacentral:rRNA from 1 species